rnacentral:tRNA from 1 species
GCCCCAUCUAGUAUGGUGGUUAUGACACUCGGUUCGUAAUCGAGUGUGCUCGGGUUCGAAUCCCGAAUAAGGUA